rnacentral:lncRNA from 1 species
AGGCUCCAAAUCCUACCACAUAUCUGUGCGGGAUAUGAAGCUGUUUUUCCCAGAAGGUCUGUGCUGCACCGAGUGUCAGGCGUUGCAGGAGGAAGAGAUCUAUAACCUGAAAUGUGACCCCGUAGUCAGGGUGGAAAUCAACAAGCAGCGCAAAAUCCUAAAACGUGGAACAGGAGGGCAGCUCAGUUUACUGGGCUCUGGGCAACCACGCGAUCUUGAUCGGCCAGUGCUCAGUAACCUCUGCCAAACCACUUGCCUCAUCCUGCCGGCGAUAAUCCUCUGGGGUUCAGACCCACCUUAUGUUGAACUGCUUGAUCAGCUUAUUGGCAAAGGUUUCACGGUGACUGGAGUACGCCUCACUGUGCUGGAUGCACCACAGGCUCACUGCAUCUCAGAGAUACUGAGCAGAGCCAAGCGCGGUGUGGCAGCAAAGUGCUCCCUCUUAAUGGAUGGUUUGUGCCUGGUGGUAGCAGCAGAGCGAGACAACGCGGUCAUUGGCUUCGACUCCCUGCUGGACAGCGUGCGUUGGCAGAAGCAGUCGGUGCUGGACAUGGCGCAGCAUCUCCUGUAUCCCCAAAAUGAGAAACAGGCUGAAGAGCUGCUCUGUUGUCUUUUUGACUCCCUGACAUCUGACAGCACCUGCCGUAUUGAAUCCCAGAGCUGCUAGCUGCUGGUCACAGCCCCCAGAGCUGAUGUCCCCGUGCACCAGGCCUGCUUUGUGGCUUUAUGUGAUGCCCAGUGCCAUGGCAUGCGAGUGCCAACAACAAGGAAGAACUCAAAAUUAAUGAGCAACCGGAGUGCAGUGUUCAGGUGUUCCACUUUCACGUCCCCUCUCCACCCUAACUCAGCUGAAUGAAGCAGCUCUGCAAGCAGGUGCCACCUGGCAUUGAGACACUGAAUGUGUGCAUUUGAUUUGGGCUGGA